ensembl:lncRNA
CCAGUACCAGUCCAUUACCUCAGCAGAACCACUAACUGCUCUGUCAUGAAUACUUUCUGUUCAUUGACCUGGCUACCCUUCAUUAUUCAUGGCAGAGCAGAUGACAAAGGCUGCUUAAUGACACACACACACACACACACACACACACACACACACACAGGACAGGCAGACACACAGGACAGGCAGACACACACACAGGACAGGCAGACACACACACACACACAGGACAGGCAGACACACAGACACAGGACAGGCAGACACACACACAGGACAGGCAGACACACACACAGGACAGGCAGACACACACACACACACACAGGACAGGCAGACACACACAGGACAGGCAGACACACACACACAGGACAGGCAGACACACACAGGACAGGCAGACACACACACACAGGACAGGCAGACACACACACACAGGACAGGCAGACACACACACAGGACAGGCAGACACACACACACAGGACAGGCAGACACACACACACACACACAGGACAGGCAGACACACACACACACAGGACAGGCAGACCAACACACACACAGGACAGGCAGACCAACACACACAGGACAGGCAGACACACACACACACACAGGACAGGCAGACACACACACACACACAGGACAGGCAGACACACACAGGACAGGCAAACACUCACACACAGGACAGGCAAACACACACACACACACACACACACACACAGGACAGGCAGACACACACACAGGACAGGCAGACAGGCAUGCCUAACUAGGUGAGAGAAGACCAGGGCAGAUUUUAAGAAGAGGUGACUGGAGGACAGAGACAGAAGGUGUCAUUGUCUCAUCACCACCUCAGGUAACACAAUAAGCCUUUUCUAGCCGUGUGUGUGUCUUAGUGUUAGCGUGUGUGUGUGUGUAUCUUAGUGUUAGCGUGUGUGUGUGUGUGUCAGUGUGUGUGUGUCUUAGUGUCAGCGUGUGUGUGUGUGUCUUAGUGUCAGCGUGUGUGUGUGUAUCUUAGUGUCAGUGUGUGUGAACUGGUGGGUGGAAAGGUGAGGGACUGAGGCAGUAAUCCUGUCACAGGAGACGUAACACCCA